rnacentral:rRNA from 1 species
AGAAGGCUCUUGGGGUUGUAAACCUCUUUUCUCAGGGAAGAAGCUCUGACGGUACCUGAGGAAUCAGCCUCGGCUAACUCCGUGCCAGCAGCCGCGGUAAUACGGAGGAGGCAAGCGUUAUCCGGAAUUAUUGGGCGUAAAGCGUCCGCAGGUGGCGAUUCAAGUCUGCUGUCAAAGCACGGGGCUUAACUCCGUUAAGGCAGUGGAAACUGAAUAGCUAGAGUGCCGUAGGGGUAGAGGGAAUUCCCGGUGUAGCGGUGAAAUGCGUAGAGAUCGGGAAGAACAUCGGUGGCGAAAGCGCUCUACUGGGCCGCAACUGACACUGAGGGACGAAAGCUAGGGGAGCGAAUGGGAUUAGAUACCCCAGUAGUC